CCACAGCAGAGAGAAACUGGCCUGGGCUGAGUGCUUCUGCGACCCAUGUUGUUUGCCCCUACAUGCUUCUACUCCUCCCUUCCCUCGCCUCUGCCCCUCUUCGGCAGAGAACUGCUGCUCUAGAAUGCUCUCGUGUGAGGGCCUCCUGAGGAGACAGGGUUCUUAUGUGGCAACAUGGCGCCUUUGAAAUCUGCCCUCUGAGGAAACAAGAGCUACAUUUCCGCAGAUGGAAAAUGCACAGAGAGAAGCAGAACAAACUCAAGGUAAAAUGAUAGGGCUUUCCUGUGUGUGUUUUUAAGACGAAUCCUUUGCUCCCUCACAUAUGGAAUAGGAAUAUAAAAUUCUAAAAGCUAGAGUUAUAUCUCACUCAACAGUUGCCCCAGAAAGUAUUCUUAUUUUUCAUUAAUGUAUUCGGAUAUGAUUUCAGUCCCAGUGACCAACUUUUUCCUCCAAGUACCUGCUUUAAGAUAGGAAGUAAAAAUAGUAAUUACUACUAACUCCUUUCUUUCAUCAACAAGAGGACACAGAUCAAAAAAAUAUUUUAGUAAGGUCACUGAAUUAUUUCUGUUUAGCUUGAUAUGGUAAUCUAGCAAGUAGAUUAAAAAAAAAAUUCAAGAGUAUUUUCUCAACUACAGAAACAUAAUCUCUCUCUUAAUGAAAUCAUAUACUAUGAACUAUGGAAAUGAGAGAAUUGUCAACAAGUAAUUUUGGUUAAUUGACUUAACAAGGUGGAAGUAGGCCAUACUUAAAAAAAUCCCCAAAUAUGGAACAUAUUAGAGAGGGGGAAAAAACACCUUGAUUUAAGAAAUAAUUCAUAUAGAAAGUGUACGCUAACAGAACAGAUUUCAAGAAAACAACUUUAAUAACCUAAAGAUGAGUUUCAUGAGAAUAUGGACACUAAUGUAAAUGGGAAAACAUAGAUGCUAAGGUCGUAUGCAAAAUGUGUACAUACAGAAAAGUGUCAUUUGGUGAAAAUUAGGAAAUAUUUCCCUAAUCCUUAAGUUUCACUGUCAGCAGAGGAAAGAACAUACCUUUCCAUACCUCUUGAAAAUCAACUGAGGAAAUAUGUGAAUUUUGAUUAAAUAGUAAGAGAGGUAAUGAAAUAUGGAUUUGUUGGGUUUUGUGCUUGGUUAUACAAUAACUUAUGUAAUCAAGGGUAAGUCACAAUCUCAAUGAGAGACAUAUCUUAGAAGUGAGAGGAUUGGGCCCGAAUCAUGGCUAAGGUUCCUUGAAGCAUUUCUCAAAAAAUACUUUGAAUAGGAUAAGUGUAUAUAGUCAUAGUACCAUAUAGGACCAUUCUACCCUAUCUCUUCUACAUGCAUUCUGAAAGUGCACAAACAUUUUUAGAUUGCCAGAGAAUCUUUGGCAGAUUGUGAAAAUUAGUUCACUAAAAAGGUACCCUUAGUGAUUUUGGGACAUAAGGGUGGAAAAAGCAUUUCUAGACAAUUGUAACCUAGGUCCAAGAAAUAAUUUCAUGGUGACAAGUUUACCUUACAAAAUUGUUUUAGUGAUUUAGUGGUUAGACCAAGCUUGCAUUCAGAAAAAGGUCAUUUGGGGAGGUCCCUGUAAAAGACUUCAAAAACUCACAAACUUUGACUCUUUGUCAGAUCACUUUGUUCAUAUUUUAAAUGAUAUACGACAAAUCAAUCAGAAUGUUAGCUACAGCUAGACAGUCUAAUUACCGGAUUACAUGUUUAACAUGACUGGUACAACCAACAAAUCAUGUAUGAGAGUCCAAUGUUUGUAAGAGAAAUCUAGGCUGCUAAUUCUGCCACUCGUUUCUCUCUAGAUGGCCCUUAGGAAAAGAGACCUACCGGUUGUGAACCUUCUAACACAGAAGGUCCUUAGGCAAGUGAGCAUUGGUUUCCUCUCCUUCCCACCCACUCUUCACUAGCAUCAGUUCCUUCUUUCGCUUUCACAUGUUAUUGCUCUCUCACAGGCAAAGACCAAUUCAGAAAGAUCACUGCCAUCUACAUAAAUCAAAGCUCUAAUGAUCUAAAGAGGGAUGUGAAAUGAGAAGAAAAGCAGAAAAGGAAAGGAGCUGGUUGAAGGCUAACCUGUCCUGUCAUUUAUGUAUGCACAUGAUACGACAGUAAUAAAAGACUUUAAACCUGCUGA